UGUAGUCAUAUGCUUGUCUCAAAGAUUAAGCCAUGCAUGUCUAAGUAUAAGCAAUUAUACCGCGAAACUGCGAAUGGCUCAUUAUAUAAGUUAUCGUUUAUUUGAUAGCACAUUACUACUUGGAUAACCGUGGUAAUUCUAGAGCUAAUACAUGCUAAAAAUCCCGACUUCGGAAGGGAUGUAUUUAUUAGAUUAAAAGCCAACGCCCUUCGGGGCUCUCUGGUGAUUCAUAAUAACUGGUCGAAUCGCAUGGCCUUGCGCCGGCGAUGGUUCAUUCAAAUUUCUUCCCUAUCAACUUUCGAUGCGAGGGUCUUGUCCUCGCAUGGUUGCAACGGGUAACGGAGGGUUAGGGCUCGACCCCGGAGAAGGAGCCUGAGAAACGGCUACUACAUCCAAGGAAGGCAGCAGGCGCGCAAAUUACCCAAUCCCGACACGGGGAGGUAGUGACAAUAAAUACUGAUACAGGGCUCUUUUGGGUCUUGUAAUCGGAAUGAGUACAAUUUAAAUCCCUUAACGAGGAACAAUUGGAGGGCAAGUCUGGU
rnacentral:rRNA from 1 species